rnacentral:rRNA from 1 species
GAUGAACGCUGGCGGCGUGCCUAAUACAUGCAAGUCGAGCGAACGGACGAGAAGCUUGCUUCUCUGAUGUUAGCGGCGGACGGGUGAGUAACACGUGGAUAACCUACCUAUAAGACUGGGAUAACUUCGGGAAACCGGAGCUAAUACCGGAUAAUAUUUUGAACCGCAUGGUUCAACAGUGAAAGACGGUCUUGCUGUCACUUAUAGAUGGAUCCGCGCUGCAUUAGCUAGUUGGUAAGGUAACGGCUUACCACGGCAACGAUGCAUAGCCGACCUGAUAGGGUGAUCGGCCACACUGGAACUGAGACACGGUCCAUACUCCUACGGGAGGCAGCAGUAGGGAAUCUUCCGCAAUAGGCGAAAGCCUUACGGAGCAACGCCGCGUGAGUGAUGGAGGUCUCCGGAGCGUAAAACUCUGUUAUUAGGGAAGAACAUAUGUGUAAGUAACUGUGCACAUCUUGACGGUACCUAAUCAGAAAGCCACGGCUAACUACGUG